CCAAAGGCUCUUUUCAGAGCCACCCAAAUAUCUCUGACAAAAUAG
rfam:Loxodonta africana unplaced genomic scaffold scaffold_108, whole genome shotgun sequence.